UUAAUUGAAACCAAAUUAGAGGUAUAUCACUGUUAAUGAUACUAUUGAAUUGAAUAUUCCAAUUAAA
rnacentral:tRNA from 2 species